GUGUGCCUGAGAGUUCCCUUGACCACUUCAUGAGGGCUUACUUCGUCGUUUGAAGCCCUGCUGAAGUGUUUGGGGGAACUCUUGGGUUCAC
rnacentral:pre_miRNA from 1 species